GACGAACGCUGGCGGCGUGCUUAACACAUGCGAGUCGAACGGAAAGGCCCUGCUUUUGUGGGGUGCUCGAGUGGCGAACGGGUGAGUAACACGUGAGUAACCUGCCCUUGACUUUGGGAUAACUUCAGGAAACUGGGGCUAAUACCGGAUAGGAGCUCCUGCUGCAUGGUGGGGGUUGGAAAGUUUCGGCGGUUGGGGAUGGACUCGCGGCUUAUCAGCUUGUUGGUGGGGUAGUGGCUUACCAAGGCUUUGACGGGUAGCCGGCCUGAGAGGGUGACCGGCCACAGUGGGACUGAGAUAAGGCCCAGACUCCUACGGGAGGCAGCAGUGGGGAAUAUUGCACAAUGGGCGGAAGCCUGAUGCAGCAACGCCGCGUGCGGGAUGACGGCCUUCGGGUUGUAAACCGCUUUCGCCUGUGACGAAGCGUGAGUGACGGUAAUGGGUAAAGAAGCACCGGCUAACUACGUG
rnacentral:rRNA from 1 species